GACGAACGCUGGCGGCGUGCUUAACACAUGCAAGUCGAACGGAAAGGCCCUGCUUUUGUGGGGUGCUCGAGUGGCGAACGGGUGAGUAACACGUGAGUAACCUGCCCUUGACUUUGGGAUAACUUCAGGAAACUGGGGCUAAUACCGGAUAGGAGCUCCUGCUGCAUGGUGGGGGUUGGAAAGUUUCGGCGGUUGGGGAUGGACUCGCGGCUUAUCAGCUUGUUGGUGGGGUAGUGGCUUACCAAGGCUUUGACGGGUAGCCGGCCUGGGAUGGUGACCGGCCACAUUGCGACUGAGCUACGGCACAGCCUCCUACGGGAGGCAGCAGUGGGGAAUAGUGCACAAUGGGCGGAAGCCUGAUGCAGCAACGCCGCGUGGGGGAUGAGGGCCUUCGGGUUGUAAACCGCUGUCGUCUGUGACGAAGCGUGAGUGACGGUAACGGGUAAAGAAGCACCGGCUAACUACGUG
rnacentral:rRNA from 1 species